UACGGAGGGUGCAAGCGUUAUCCGGAUUCACUGGGCUUAAAGGGUGCGUAGGUGGGUCUGUAAGUCCGUGGUGAAAUCUCUAGGCUUAACCUGGAAACUGCCAUGGAUACUAUAGGUCUUGAAUACUGUGGAGGUCAGCGGAAUAUGUCAUGUAGCGGUGAAAUGCUUAGAUAUGACAUAGAACACCAAUUGCGAAGGCAGCUGGCUACACAAAUAUUGACACUGAGGCACGAAAGCGUGGGGAGCAAACAGG
rnacentral:rRNA from 1 species